rnacentral:rRNA from 1 species
ACGAACGCUGGCGGCGUGCUUAACACAUGCAAGUCGAACGGAAAGGCCCUGCUUUUGUGGGGUGCUCGAGUGGCGAACGGGUGAGUAACACGUGAGUAACCUGCCCUUGACUUUGGGAUAACUUCAGGAAACUGGGGCUAAUACCGGAUAGGAGCUCCCGCUGCAUGGUGGGGGUUGGAAAGUUUCGGUGGUUGGGGAUGGACUCGCGGCUUAUCAGCUUGUUGGUGGGGUAGUGGCUUACCAAGGCUUUGACGGGUAGCCGGCCUGAGAGGGUGACCGGCCACAUUGGGACUGAGAUACGGCCCAGACUCCUACGGGAGGCAGCAGUGGGGAAUAUUGCACAAUGGGCGGAAGCCUGAUGCAGCAACGCCGCGUGCGGGAUGACGGCCUUCGGGUUGUAAACCGCUUUCGCCUGUGACGAAGCGUGAGUGACGGUAAUGGGUAAAGAAGCACCGGCUAACUACGUG